CACAUCCCUUAUGUGAGAACCUAAUAUAUUUGAGGGCAUAUUACAACCGUUGGAUCAAUUGUAUUCAAUGGCUACCAUUUAUUACGGUCAAACAUAAUUCCAAAAAAAAAAAAUCAGCGUUUUCUCUCUCCUCCUUCAUUUUGCAAGUUAUUUUCUCUCUCCCCCUUCAUCACCAUUGUUGAAGAAACCCAUGAAUUUCCCUCAAUUGCAGUUAUUCUCUCUCAUCUCCCUCUGGAUUUCCAGCAAAACCUACGAUUCUCCCCUCUUUCUCUCAAAACCCUAAAAUCAAUCGGCGAUCAAUGCAUCAAAGAUCAUCAUUUCACAAAAAUCGAUUUCUUAGACGCCGAAAUCUAAUUUUUGCAAUCCCUGAGUUUCGAGGUCGGAACCACGAAGAAUUUGAUGUUUUUGGUGAUUGAAGAAUUGAUGAUGAAGCUUAAAGAGGUGGCUAAGGUUGGUGAGAUGGUGAGUAUCGAGGUUUGUUGCGAUGUCAUAGAUUUGAUGUAUGAGAACGAUGAGAUUUCGCGGAUGAGAAUUCGGUGUUUUUGGAUGAGGGGCUUCACUUAGAUGAAGAUCAAAUCCGCGAUAUUCAAUUGUUCAUCAUCAAAUUGUUAUGCUGCCGCAUUAGAGAAUCUGGAAAUAUUUGAGAAUAGUAAAAAUGGGGGCUCCUCUAGGACGUUGUACUCCCAGCUUAAUCAUUGUGUGACUGAUUUUGGGAAGAGCUUGCAAGGCCUCUUUAUCAUGUUGAGUCAAUUAAGGAACGACAAGAUGCUAUAGUAGCCCUUAGGGUAUGCUCUGCAAUCUGCAUUUUAUAAGCCUAUCUGACAUUGUGCUUUUAAAGCUUAAUUUUAUAUGUUUAUCACAGAUAUGUGGAUUUGCCUCGUACUUUUACUUUUAUUCAGAGUAUUUUAGAUUGGUUUGUCAAUAGUGACGAAGUCCACAUAGUUGAUUCCACUACAACACAUAGGUUGAUUGAAAUCAUUGAAUGCAUUGCCUUA